rnacentral:rRNA from 1 species
AUUGAACGCUGGCGGCAUGCUCUACACAUGCAAGUCGAACGGUAACAGGCCGCAAGGUGCUGACGAGUGGCGAACGGGUGAGUAAUGCAUCUGAACGUGCCCAUUCGUGGGGGAUAACUACUCGAAAGAGUAGCUAAUACCGCAUACGAUCUAUGGAUGAAAGCGGGGGACCGUAAGGCCUCGCGCGAUUGGAGCGGCCGAUGUCAGAUUAGGUAGUUGGUGGGGUAAAGGCUCACCAAGCCAACGAUCUGUAGCUGGUCUGAGAGGACGACCAGCCACACUGGGACUGAGACACGGCCCAGACUCCUACGGGAGGCAGCAGUGGGGAAUUUUGGACAAUGGGCGCAAGCCUGAUCCAGCAAUGCCGCGUGCAGGAAGAAGGCCUUCGGGUUGUAAACCGCUUUUGUACGGAACGAAACGGCUCUGGUUAAUACCCGGGGCUAAUGACGGUACCGUAAGAAUAAGCACCGGCUAACUACGUG